rnacentral:rRNA from 1 species
UACGUAGGAGGCAAGCGCUGUCCGGAUUUAUUGGGCGUAAAGAGCGUGUAGGCGGUCAGGUAGGUCCGUUGUGAAAACUCGAGGCUCAACCUCGAGACGCCGAUGGAAACCAUCUGACUAGAGUCCGGAAGAGGAGAGUGGAAUUCCUGGUGUAGCGGUGAAAUGCGCAGAUAUCAGGAAGAACACCCGUGGCUAAGGCGGCUCUCUAGUACGGUACUGACGCUGAGACGCGAAAGCGUGGGGAGCGAACAGG